AUGAACGCUGGCGGCGUGCCUAAUACAUGCAAGUCGAGCGAACGGACGAGAAGCUUGCUUCUCUGAUGUUAGCGGCGGACGGGUGGGUAACACGUGGAUAACCUACCUAUAAGACUGGGAUAACUUCGGGAAACCGGAGCUAAUACCGGAUAAUAUUUUGAACCGCAUGGUUCAAAAGUGAAAGACGGUCUUGCUGUCACUUAUAGAUGGAUCCGCGCUGCAUUAGCUAGUUGGUAAGGUAACGGCUUACCAAGGCAACGAUGCAUAGCCGACCUGAGAGGGUGAUCGGCCACACUGGAACUGAGACACGGUCCAGACUCCUACGGGAGGCAGCAGUAGGGAAUCUUCCGCAAAGGGCGAAAGCCUGACGGAGCAACGCCGCGUGAGUGAUGAAGGUCUUCGGAUCGUAAAACUCUGUUAUUAGGGAAGAACAUAUGUGUAAGUAACUGUGCACAUCUUGACGGUACCUAAUCAGAAAGCCACGGCUAACUACGUG
rnacentral:rRNA from 1 species